CAGCAGACACUACUGCUCUGUGAGAUUGUGAAGCCGGCCUCGGCCUAGGCGUUGGUUAGAGUGUGUGUUGCAGGGUGAUUCAGAAUGGUGGACCAGCCUCUGUGGGAGCAGAUAGGAUCCAGCUUUGUGCAGCA